CGUCAAUCAAUCAUAACGGACACGGAUUUCAAAGGCAGCAGGAUGAGAGUUAACAAUGUAUCAGGUCUGUUUUCAUCAAGACAUGAAGACUCUGGAGUGGGACAAGAGAAGGAUGGUGGGGUGUUAUUCCAAUAGACACAUUAAGUGAAAGCUGAUAAAUACAGAGGGCUGGACAGUGGUUUCAUUGAUUAAGUAAAGAGGUGGGACAAGGAUGCUGACAGGACAGGAGGAGGUGACAUUCAGACAUUCAGCGCAGACAUUUUCAUCCAAAGCAACUUGAGGAAGAAAACAAGCA